rnacentral:rRNA from 1 species
AUUGAACGCUGGCGGAAUGCUUUACACAUGCAAGUCGAACGGCAGCACGGGGGCAACCCUGGUGGCGAGUGGCGAACGGGUGAGUAAUACAUCGGAACGUGCCCAGUCGUGGGGGAUAACGUAGCGAAAGCUACGCUAAUACCGCAUACGAUCUACGGAUGAAAGCGGGGGAUCGCAGGACCUCGCGCGAUUGGAGCGGCCGAUGGCAGAUUAGGUAGUUGGUGGGGUAAAGGCUCACCAAGCCUUCGAUCUGUAGCUGGUCUGAGAGGACGACCAGCCACACUGGGACUGAGACACGGCCCAGACUCCUACGGGAGGCAGCAGUGGGGAAUUUUGGACAAUGGGCGAAAGCCUGAUCCAGCCAUUCCGCGUGCAGGAUGAAGGCCCUCGGGUUGUAAACUGCUUUUGUACGGAACGAAACGGCCUUUUCUAAUACAGAGGGCUAAUGACGGUACCGUAAGAAUAAGCACCGGCUAACUACGUGCCAGCAGCCGCGGUAAUGUA